UUUAAGUGUGAGAUAUUGGUCCAUCCCUGUAGUCUAAAGUGGAACUUCAUAACUGAUUGAUGAGUCAGCAGUGUUCUGGCAUAUUUACACACAAAUGAAAACAGUCGACGCUUGAACAAAUGUAGGCGGUAAACAGAUGAGAGAUUUGAAUGGUUAAUGGUUUGUGAUGCCGGCAGUUGGUGGUGUUUUUCCAACCUCCAUUAAUAUCUUUUCAAAGACAGCUGAGCAGUCAGAGUCGUCGUCAUGGAAACUGAACUUGAGUUCCUCUGUGAUUCGUUUGGGAACAAUUGUCAUCUCUGAGCAAACACUUCUCUCACAUUUGAAAUAGCUCAAAAGCUGAUUCAGACUGGAUGGAGGUCAUCUGUGAAGGUCAAUUUUCAGGAUUGCCCUGUACUUGGCUCCAUUCCCUCCUUCCAUUAACUCUGACCAGUUUCUCUGUCACUGCUAAAGAAAAACACCCCAUUAGCAUCAUGCAGCCACCACCAUGUUUCCCUAUGAGCUCGUCACGGCCAACCGUUUUACUGAUGUGGUGCUUUGAAGCUGGAUGGAGGGAGGGUGAGACAUCAUGCGCUCAGAUGCCCGAAGAUGCUGUGGUUUUGUGGAGUUUUAUCACCCAGACAGGGAGACGGAGCUCGAAUCCUGCCCCUUACAGCCCUCACUGUGGCAGGAGGCUGAAAGUGACAGUCCUCAGCAGCCAGGCCUUGCAAAUACCGCAGGCCUGAUAAUGACUUCCAUGCCAUCGUGACAACUUGCUCUUUUAUGUGAAAGGCAAGGGAAGACGCUUCUGGCUGUCUCGAAACAUCGUAAGCUGGAACAUUGUCUAUAAACCAGACAAUCAAAGAGGAAGGCAGAGAAGCAUGAGUGGAAUCUGUGACGCCAACCUCAGCUGAUUGAUGAUCACUACUGAAGAAGCCCUAUUUCCAAGAGAAUGAAUUUAGAAGUAAAUUGCGGGAAAACCAAAA